GAUCAUGGCUCAGGAUGAACGCUAGCGGCAGGCUUAACACAUGCAAGUCGAGGGGCGAGCAUUUUGGGUUAGCAAUACCUGAGAUGGCGACCGGCGCACGGGUGCGUAACGCGUAUGCAACCUACCCAUAACAGGGGCAUAACACUGAGAAAUCGGUACUAAUUCCCCAUAACAUUCGAAGAGGCAUCUUUUCGGGUUGAAAACUCCGGUGGUUAUGGAUGGGCAUGCGUUGUAUUAG
rnacentral:rRNA from 1 species